CAGCGAGGCGCACGACAUAGAUAAUAGCGCUUUUAGAGGUGAAGGAAAUGUCUACAAUACAGUGCAGCGAGGUGCACGACAUAGACAAUAGCGCUCUUAGAGGCGAGGGAAAUGUCUACAAUACAGUGCAGCGAGGUGCACGACAUAGACAAUAGCGCUCUUAGAGGUGAAGGAAAGUUGGUGGGAGAAAGGUCUUUGGUGCGUUAUUCCGAACUCGGGGCGAUAGAAAUAUGAGAAUGAGAAUGAAAGGAAUUAUUAGAAUAAUAACAGGAGAUCUGUCUUUAUGUUAGAAUCUAAUAUUGAUGUAAUUUCUUAUUGAUAGGAUAUUUGAAAGGUGAUUGGAUAAUGAUUGAAAGAAAUCUACGCGACCUUCGAAACUCGUUCAAAUUUUUAUGUAAUGUCGGAGUGUUGGAUGAUCUGUGUGUUUAACAGAUUCCUACCUUUAAGACGACGAACUCUUCGUAGACCUGUGAUGUGCCUGGCCAGCUUCGCUCCCUCGCAAGGACCUCGGUCGUGGGGUGCUUAUGGCGAAAUCAAACGCUCGGUCGUACGAUGCUCUGAAGUUCUUUAUUCGUCUUUUAAUCCGGUUACAAAUUGUGCGUGAUUUAAAAGUUAAGAAGUCAGCGAGUUCGACGGCUAACCCGUGACUUGAACAAUGUACUAAGUUACAAAUUUACGCGGGGUUACAACGAUUAGGCGUCGUUGACAAAAUUAUAUGUUCCAAGAUUUGCGUUGUAGAUCGUUAUGAUGAUUUUAGGAUGAUACCAAAUUGUUGUUGCACUUCUUGGCUAGCGACAAUUUAAAAUGUACACUGUAACUUUCUAUGAUAAAAUGCCGUCGUGUGAUUCUACUGUUA